CUGGGGACAUGGUGCCCUAUGGGGUCCUUAGGGAUGUGGUGCCCUAUGGGGACAUUAGGGACACAGUGCCCUAUGGGGUCCUUGGGGACAUGGUGCCCUAUGGGGACAUUGGGGACACGAUGCCCUAUGGGGACACUGGGGACAUGAUGCCCUAUGGGGACAUUGGGGAUAUGGUGCCCUAUGGGAUCCUUGGGGGACGUGGUUCCCUAUGGGGACAUUGGGGACACGAUGCCCUAUGGGGAAGUUGGGGACAUGGUGCCCUGUGGGGUCCUUGGGGAUGCGGUGACCUAUGGGGAUUUUGGGGACAUGAUGCCCUAUGGGGACACAGGGGGAUGUGGUGCCCUAUGGGGUCCUUGGGGUUGUGGUGCCCUAUGGGGAUUUUGGGGACACGAUGCCCUAUGGGGUCCUUGGGGAUGUGGUGCCCUAUGGGGAUUUUGGGGACACGAUGCCCUAUGGGGUCCUUGGGGACACGAUGCCCUAUGGGGACACUGGGAACACGGUGCCCUAUGGGGUCCUUGGGGAUGUGGUGACCUAUGGGGAUUUUGGGGACCCCCCCGACCCCCCUGUGGGGACGCCCUCCUUCUGCAGCUGAGCCGCCCCUCUUUUGCCCCCCCCCCAUUUUGGGGCACUCUUCC
rnacentral:lncRNA from 1 species